CCAGCGUGACCACGCAAGCCUCCGCCGCCGUAUUCCGGCCAUGCCGGUUCCUGAGCGGUUCAGGCGGAAGACUGAACCGGGAAGUGUCGGUUAAACAGGCGGUUUCAUCUUACAAAUCAUUGAAAGUGGAAGCCAAGAAGGGUGAAUGGCUACCGGGGCUGGCCUCUCCGGCGUAUCUGGAUGGCAGGUGCGAUAUUUUAAUACCCCAUAAUGAGUAAUGAGUGUGUUUAAUUGUUAGAUGAGAAUGUGUUGUGUUGUGUAGCCUGCCCGGAGACAACGGAUUCGACCCGUUGGGACUGGCGGAGGACCCGGAGAACCUGAAAUGGUUCGUGCAGGCGGAGCUGGUGAACGGGCGGUGGGCAAUGCUGGGGGUGGCCGGGAUGCUGCUGCCGGAGGUGUUGACGUCCAUCGGGAUCCUGAACGUGCCCAAGUGGUACGACGCAGGGAAGGGGGAGUACUUCGCGUCGUCGUCCACCCUUUUCGUGAUCGAGUUCAUCCUCUUCCACUACGUGGAGAUCAGGAGGUGGCAGGACAUCAAGAACCCCGGGAGCGUCAACCAAGACCCCAUCUUCAAGCAGUACAGCUUGCCCCCAACCAGGUCGGCUACCCCGGCGGCAUCUUCAACCCCCUCAACUUCACCCCCACUCUCGAGGCCAAGGAGAAGGAGAUCGCCAACGGUAUAUAUUAACUAUCACUAUCACAACCAACCAAAGUGUCUUGUCUCACUAUGUACGUGUGUGUGUUUGUGCAGGGAGACUCGCGAUGCUGGCGUUCCUCGGGUUCAUCAUCCAGCACAACGUCACCGGAAAGGGGCCGUUCGACAACCUGCUGCAGCACCUUUCAGACCCCUGGCACAACACCAUCAUCCAGACAUUCAAGGGCUGAACCACAGAUUUAUAGUAUUCGAGUGGUGGAUGGUUUUUGUGUGAAAUUUGAGCUGUAUUUGUAAGACAUUAAUGUACAGGGAGAAGCAACUUGGAGUUUUAUCAUCGAUACAUUACUACAUCUAUCUCAUUAUCAGUCAUCAUCGAUUUCUCCAACAAAAAACACAUGCACCUUCCUUUUUAGCCAACACAAUAUAUUAUGUUUGUUUUCCUACAAAACAAAACUAAACCAAUUCUCUAUCCAUUGGCUAACACAAAUACGCGUCUGCCUCUUUUCUUCGCUUGCGCGAGGCCGCAGAUAUGCAAGCUGUGUACCAACCAGAUUCCACUGAGUCACUUGAUUAGUUUGGUGGCUGCAAAAAAUGGCAACUAGUUUAGAUCAAAUAGUGCUCGCUAAUUACAACUUCAAAUUCCAUCAUACACAUACCACAAAUUGAGACAUUCUCACCUGAGGAUAAGAGUUAUCGUUUAGCAUGGAAAUGGCACACGAACCAGCUGUAGGAACCAAACUAGGUGGAAAAUUGUUGCAGACAGAUCUUGGAAGGUCGAAAUUCCCAUUUAUCUGGUAAUCCAAGCUACUCAGUUGAAAAUUUGCAUCCUUUCCGGGUUCCAUCAAAUCCGGAAAACUUAAAUUUCCAAACGAAUUAUAAGGAUAUUGAUCGCCAAGAGGCAGUCUCAAGUGAGCAGAAUAUGUGUAAUCAUCAAUGGUCAACCCAUCUAGUCUUUCAGUUUUCAGCUGUCUUGAAUUGUCAAGAUCCUGUUCUUUCACAUCGGGAAAGUAACCGGAGCAGGUCGGGAAGGAUGCAUCUCUGGAGCAUUCCAUAUCUCUAGUGAAAAAACGGAGCAUUACAUCUCAAACAAUAUGAGUUUGUGAACACGAAUUCAAAUGAAGUUACAUCAAACAAAUCCAGAAAGGUGCAGAAGACAGAGAUGCCCUAAUGGUUGAUAUAACUCUAUAAACACAGAUAUAUAUACAUAUAUACGAAACUGGAGAAUUAUAUACGAGAGCAUCACACAAGACAAAACCAAAGAUCAACUUACCGACUAGCCAAGAAUUGGGGUUCGCUUGUUAGUAUCAUAUGUUGACCCUCCCCACCAGGAAGCCACGACUGGUUCGGGCAAUCCUGAUCACUGGUUGUUGCUAAGGGAAAAUGCAUGUUGUUUGGAAACUGCGGCUUGGGAAGUUCUUGUUCAUAAACUCUACCAAAGUCUCCACACACCUACAUUACACGGCGAAAACUACUGAAAAGAAAAACAGAGUGAAAGAGAAAUCUAAACCAGUGGAUUGCGUUGCUACCUGGCUUGUGCAAUCAAACUGAAUAAGUGGAUCCUUAAAAAACUUUUCCUGUUGAAAGAAAAUUAUAUCAGUAAACUUAUUUUCAUCACUCUUAGCCUGCAUCAUACUACCAAGAACAAUUUAUUUAGGUAGCUGAACUGACUUUUUGACCUACAUGCUUCGCGGCUAUUGUUUCGACUCUAUAAUACCUUGUACUGAAUUGAUGGAGCAUGAACUCAUUGAAAAGGCAUGUAAAGUCUUACUUAGUACCUUAGUUAUUUGAGUCCUGUUCAGUGAUUCACGUAGAGAAUUUUCCAUCUGAUUUAGGUGUUCGAUGUCUUCAAUAGUGUCUGGAUUACUCCACCAGCUGGAGACAAAACACUUCAUAAAUCUACGAGCAGUUCAACGAUAGCUAACCUGUUAUCUAGAUCAUAAUUAACACCUCAAAAUUGAAUUUCAACAAAAUCAAGAAACUAAAAAUUGCAGAAGUUCGAAAUUGUAUGGUCAACUAUAGUAAAAAGGUGCAUACACCUUACCUGAUUAUACUACUACAAAAAUUUAAGUUAUUCAGCUUAGAAUGGAAAUCAUUUUAUACAUAAGACAUAGAUUUCAAUCAUGAUUUUUCGAGUUGAUACGCAUCACUUCUUAGUUUAUGGACCAAAAGUUCUGAGAUUUUACAUUAUUCUUUUAUGUGCUUCAGCAAGUUGACCUUGAAGAGUCCUUGCUCGGUUUUGCAUUUCCUAUCAAGUAGAAGAACACAUUAGGCAUUUCAAGGGAUGGGUCAACUAUGGUACGCUCGAUUUUCAGAUCGCGGGUGGCUAAUGAGAAUACCUCAAUUGAUGGAGUACUGCCAAACGAAAAUAAAAAAAAAUGAAAAAAAAUCAUCAGAAAUGGCAUAGGGCUUAAGCAAUUAAAAUUGUCAAUAGAGUGAAUAGUUUACCUUGCAUCAAGAAACUCUUCUAUAUCAACAUCUUGGUCGAGCUUCUUGAAGUUUCUUUUUAAAGUCUAUCAUAUCAUUUAUCCAAAGGAAUUAACUUCACUUUCUUUUCAAGAAGAACAAUAUAAAGCAAAAGGUACAUAGUUGAUAUAAUACUUACUUCAAGACUCUCCAACCUCCUAUUCGAAUUUCAGAAGAAGAAAGAGAUUGAGUUAUUAUGAUAGCACUUUAAUUCAUAGAAAGAUAACCAUGUGCAGCAAUUAUCAGUACCUCUUUGCCCUUUCUUUUGGUGUAAGUUGAGCGUAUUUUGCUAUCAUUUCAUCAAUGUUGCUGAAACCAAAAAGAAGAUGAAUCGUGACAUGUCUGUGCUGAAGCCUCUUUUAUGGAAUGGACAUAAGAAACAGCAGGUUCCUAAUUGUCUAAAAUGAUAAACAACACAUCCAAUUAUGGUCAUGUCAGCUCAAAAAAUACCACAGGAGGAGGUAAUCAGUCAUCUUAGAUCUUCUUGCUUAUUCUUCAUCAUCAAAACGAGAAUGAUAAUCAACAUCAACCUUGUUACAGAGAUUAUAAAGACAGGGUAUAAGCUACAAGCACUCUAAAAGUGAGGCUUUCCAUGUAUAUUGUAUUGCUCACCAACAUAAAGACCAUGCAGAAUAACCAUUACCACAAAUGAUGAUGUCAAAACUAGAGAUGCUUAAUAACAACCUUCGUUGACCGCAGAAUAUAGAUGGCUUCCCAGAUGGAGAAAACAUGAUAAGUACAAUGGGAAUGUCACAUAAAACAGAAAUUUCUUGGGCCUUUUUCAAGAUUCCAGCCCUUCGUUUUCCAUACGUGACCUGCCGGCUGUUCAGAGUCUCUAAUCUCUGUAUCUUCAGCUUUACCCUUCCCAUCCUACAAGUUCACAACCAAUAAAUCCCUAUUUCAACUCCCAAAUCCUCAAACAAUGAAACACAUUUAAAUUUCUGUCUCCUUUUCAUGUAUUUUCUUUAAUCAAUCAUUGCUUUUGAUAUAGUGAAAAACAUCAAAAUGGAGACUAAAUUUACAUGUUUUUCCACAUUGCAAGAAUCAAAAUCACACAUUCUCAAAUAUAAAGCUGGAAUCAGAUAAAGAAACAAUCUUUCCCAACUAAUUACAUUACCUUGACGUAAAAUCCUCCAAACAUGUGCAAAUUUGCAGAUAGAAAAUCCUGCAAUAAUCCUGUAUUUCCACAAACAAGGGGUUAAAAAUAGGAAUCAUAAAAUGAAGAAAAGCGGAACAUAGAACCCAUGGCUAAGAGAGGGAGAAAUGUGAGACAGUCCCACUCGAGGAUUUCAAUGGAAAGAUUGAAACCGCAUUUUGACAUUGGUGGCAUUAGGGCGACAAGCAUGCAGAAAAAUGCAAAUGGAAAAUGACCUAAAAAUGGGAUAUCCAAAUCAGGUGAUGAAUGGACAUAAUAUUUGUGAAUGUGAUGUAAGCUGCAGCGAUUCGAGAAAAUAAAAAGGGAAAACAGGAGAAGGAGGAGGAGGAUAAUGAUUUUAAGGGAGAAUGAGGAAGAGAUGCAAGGAGAGAGAAAGGAAGAGUGAGAGAGAAAAGGCUAAGGAGAAGGAUUGAGGAGCAGACAACAGGUUGUACUAUGAUUUCGGCAGUUAAAACUCGCGGGAGAACCGAACCUAGAUGCGCGUAGGGACCAAAUAUUUUCAAAUAUUCUUAAUGUUUCUCUGCUAAGAAUUACUCAUAACAUAAUAAUUACUUACUUUUGGAAAGUAAUGAUUUUAUGUGAUUCACAUCUUAGCACAACAUUAUUUUGCUAAUUUAUCAUUUUGAGUAGUAGAUUUUUGGGGGUUGAGAAAUAUGCGCAAAAGUGGACCUUUUCCAUUUCAAUUCGAAGCUCUUCAAUGUUUCAUAUCGGGGAGAAGAAAAUCAAGUUUCUAAAACCAAGUACAAAAUACAAACAUUUGAGCCGAUUUCAAUGUCCAAUUGUGACGUCCCAAUUUUCUUAUUAAAAAAAUAAAAUGUAUUUUGAAUAAAAUAUUAAGAUUCGAACCUUUAAAAUAAUUCAAAUCUAUAUUGCAACGGAAAAUAUCAAAUAAAACAUAAUAAAUUUAGUCUUUAUUCCAAUUAAAAAUAAAAUAUUAUUUCUUUUUUAUUCCUUGACCACCAUCACUCGCCCAGUCCAUCAUCGCUCGAGACGUCUCCUGAAAAAUGAUAUUAUUUUGAAGUGAGUACAAUAACUCAAUGGGAGCGUAUUUAUCCAAAUUAUAUGAAAUACAUCAAUAAAUACAUGAUUAUAGCAUCCAUCACAUAGCCCGUAGGCCAUGCCCUUACUCUGAAGAUAGCCCAUAGGCUACAUCAUAUAACUAGUAGGUCAUGAGCUUAUUCUCAACUGUAUCACAUAAUUAAUUAAGCAAAACAUAUAAUAAGGAUAAAUGACUUAAAUGUAUUAAAAUCACCCUACCUUAACCUUUCUUGAGCAAAACUCGCAAUUAAAUAAUUAAGUCUCGCGCGCCGUUCCUAAAAUGAAUUAUAAAAUCAUAAUUAAAAUAUGUUUAACCAAUGAAUGCACAUGAACAUGAAUAUAAUAUAUAUAUAUAUAUAUAUAUAUAUAUGUGCAUAAAAUUAUUUUCUAAUAAAAUUUACUAAUUAAAAAUCGGAAUACUUUAAAUAUUAAUAUGUAAGUAAUACUUAGAAAUAUGUACUUAAAGAAAAACAAAACAUGGCGCGUUUAAUAUAGGUUAUUAUCUACUGAGAAUCUCAAAAUUAGUGACACCUAAGAACCAUUCUACACCCUAGAUUACUCCUAAUCCGACGUAUAUGAUUUAAAAUUGUUAAAAAUAAUACUUGUUCAAUUAACCAAAAUUCUUAUGCGUUUUUUGUGUAGAAGGGUAUAUUAGUAAUGUGAUUUGAUAUUAUAGAAGUGUAUCCCUUAAUUAUAGCACUAAAAAUCUUCAUAAUUAAUUUUACAUUUAUCUUUUGACGUCUCCUCCUAGUAAUGGACGUCUUUUUACCUUCUUCUCUCUCAUUGUCAAUUUUCUACCGCCAUUUUCGAACACUGCAUUGUAGGAGUGAACAAGCUUUUCAGUCCAUUCAACUUCUCUCACUUGUUCAUACAUUUUGUAAUCUCAAUUUUGUGUCAAGCGAUGAAUAUAUGAUAAACAGGUGAAAAAGGUUUUGUUUUCGUUGGGGCUUGAAAAAUAUUUUCUCGUUGACAGAUUUUUUUUUGUAAGCCAUUGAACAAACCUUUUAUUUCCAGCGAAACGACGAUUAUUUUUUAAAACCUUUAAUUUUCUGUGAUUUCGGGCGUGUAUUUUCCAGCGUCAAUGAACAAUAUGCAGGAACAAAGUCCAUGAACAAAUUCAAUGAACAAGUCCUAUACGUAUGACAUGAACUUUGAAUAAGAAUGAACACUAAGUGAACAAGUCAUUGUUCAUGUAGAUGUUCAUUUGUUUGAAAUGUAUGACAAGUUAUUGUUCAUGAAUUGAAUCAUAAUAAUUCAUUUUUCAUAUGAACAAGUGGUUAAUCUAGUGAAUAUUGAUGGUCUAAACUUAUUCAGUCAACUAAAAUACAUGUUCAGGACUAUAUUAAAUGAACAAAUGAAUUAUACGUCUGAACAUGGAAAAACAUUCAUGAAUAUAGCGUGUGUUCAUAGAGUGCAUUUGCAAUUAAAUGCCUGAACAUGGUAGAACUGAUGAAGGAUGAAUAAUGCACUAAAUAACUCUAGCAAAUAAGUUCUCCAAAUCGUGUGUUAGUGGGAUAAUAAAAGAUAUGUUUGACAAAAUCAAAAUACCAAAAAUAUGAGAUAUGAUGUUGCAUGGAAUUAGGAAAGUAACAGUUAGUCAAUAUUGAGGAAAUUCUCUAAAGCCCCUUAACGUGAAUAAUUACUUCAGAUUAAUGGGUUAGAUGAGGUCCGUUAAAUUAUAUUAAUCAAGGGUUAGGAUGAGUUCUUAGGUGUCACAAAAAGAUGACAUUCUCACGUAAACCUUCCUCUCUCUAUAUAUAUAGACACACUUAUACAAAAUGAUCAAACUAAUAUUUAUGUAUGUACAUUCAUGCUUUAAAGCAUUAAAUCAAGAGAAAGAUAUAUACAUGUAUAUAUAUAUAUAUAUAUACACUUAUAUAUAUAUAUAUAUAUAUAUAUAUAUAUAUAUAUACUUUAAAGAAAAGGUGGAGCAAGAAUUUGAUAUGCAGUAUAAUCACUUAAAGGGAAAAUAGUACAAUAUUUGACUAAUAAGAAAUAUGGCAAGAAAAGGUAAAGUAUUCUCUCUCUUAUUUUGACGGGAAUGGAAUAUCAGAAGUAAAGGAAUACAAAGAAAAUGAAGAGAACAUGCAAAGUAUUACCUCACCUCAAGGAAUAGAGAAGGAGCUAUUUAUAUUAGGAGCUAGGAGUUUAUUUUUGGCAAUAAAAUCAAUUAAGAAAAAAUCAUUCCAUAAUUUAGAUUUAGAUAAAAAAAGGUACGUGAAUUAGGGUAACUUACUUAAAAUAACAAAUAUAAUAAUAAUUACAAGAAUAGUAAUAAUAAUAAGAAUGAUAAAAAAAUAAUAAUAAUAAAUGUUUAGAAUUUAUUAUAAAAAAAAUGUUCGUGCAAUAUCUAGGCGCGACUUAUAAGACUUAAAAUUUAAUAAAUGAAAAUUAUUUAAAGAAAAAUAUUUGGGUCACUGCACCAGCAGAUGUCUACUCUCCCAAAUAUUACCAUUUACCAACUACUAAUACUUUCUCAUGCCCAAUUUAAUAGCCCAUAUUUUUUAUUUGAACGCUCGAUUUAAUAUACUACUUCCUGAAAUAAAAUACUAUAUUACAAAUAUCUUUACAUAACUCAUUAUUUACACUAUGAAUGCAUUUACUUCGAUGAAAAAUGAGAGAAAAAAUAUAUUUUCGAUCAUUUUCCACCAUUUUCACAUAUUUACUAUGAUAGAAUUUUUUUUUCGGGUAGGAUGAAAUAUUUUUCUCGGGCAGUCCAUUUUCACUCAUUUUCUCUCCAAUAUUGGGUAAUAUUAUCUUAAGGUAAGGGUGUGAAAACAUUUUUCAACAUUUUCUCAUCUUUUCAUCUUUAGUUAACAUAUGAUAAAAAAAUAGGAGGAAAAUAUAAUAUUUUCUCAUCUUUUCUUAUCCAUCAUUUUCCAAUGAAAAUUCUACAACCAAAAUAAACGCACCCUAAAUGUCAUUGUGCUCUACACAUAAUUAUCCCUCCUUUUAUUUUAACAAAAUAUUUUUAUUUCUCUUCUUACUCUUUUUUAACAUAUAUAUUAUUAAAAAUUUGUUUUUUUCUCACAUAUAUUUUAGGGUUAAUUACGCCAAAAAUCAUGAACUAUACCCCAAUUUCCAACUUUUCCAUGAACUUUUUUUUAUCAAAAAUUCCCUGAACUUAAUGUGUUGAACAAUUUUUCCAUACUUUUUUCUCCGGUGAAGCUCCGGGCUGACUUGUCGCCUACGUGGUAAUAUCGAGCUGACGUGGCGUCUAUUUGGACUAAAAAUUGACACUUGGAAAAAAAAAACCAAAAACAAAAAACCAUUCUCUUUCUCUUUCCCCCUUCCAUGUCCGGCGAACACCACCGCCCCACAAGAUCCGCCGCCCCCUCUCUCUCCACCGCCCACCGCCUUCCCUCCUCCAUGUCCGACAAACUCCUCAUCCAUGUCAGAAACAGUUACACAUGUAUUCUCUUCGUUUGCACGGUGGUGGUUAGGUUGUUGUCCAAUCGAAGCGCAGAGGAGGCGUAAGAAGGUGGGGGAUCUGGAGCUCUGCGGCGACAGCCCUAUCGCUGUGCAGUCGUCGGACUUCGAGGAGAGGGGGUAGGGUUUACAGCAGGGCAGAGCAGAGUAGAGUUGAGCAGAACAGAGUAUAUCAGAGCAGAGUAGAGUAGAGCAUAGUAGAGUAGAGUAGAGCAUAGUAGAGCAGAGCAGAGCAUAAUAGAGCAUAGUAUAGCAGAGCAGAGCAGAAUAGGGCAUAGUAGAGCAGAGCAGAAUAGAGCAUAGUAGAGCAGUGCAGAGCAGAAUAGAGCAUAGUAUAGCAGAGCAGAGCAGAAUAGAGCAUAGCAAAGCAGAGUAGAGCAUAAUAGAACAGCGUUGGCUCUUCACCGAUGGUCGUUCGACCGAGAGGUGAGAAAGGAGGGAAGAGAGAGGGCGAAAGCAGAUCCGGCGCCCUAACCUUAAUUUCGUCUCCCCCGUUUCCCCCACCCCCAAACCCUAAUUUCACCUCCUUCCACCAGCCGCCGCCCACUCCCUCAAAUCCACCCCUCUAUCCAAAAUCGAAGAGACAUCAAUUGUUGCGAUAAAGUUAGCGUCCGACGCCGCACGUGAACGAGCAAUAGCAAACCAGCACCGCGCGAGGUCGCUGCUACAAACCAGCACGCCGCUGCACUGCAUCUCCGGCACUGAUCCUCCGUCGAUUUUCUCCGCCUUCGCCUCCGUCGAAAUUAGGGCUCAGAAAAGGGGGCUAAUGUUAAACGACGUCGUUUACCUUCAAUUAAACGACGCCGUUUCAAUUCUCCGCCGGCGAUGCCAUAUAUAUAUCCGGUCACUUAAAACAUGCCAUGUCAGCUAUGAAUUUGGGGAUUCUUGAAAGUUAUGGAAAAAUUGUUCAACACAUUAAGUUCAGGGAAUUUUUGAUUAAAAAAAAGUUCAUGGAAAAGUUGUAAAUUGGGGUAUAGUUCAUGGUUUUUGGCGUAAUUAACCCUAUAUUUUAUUAUAAACUAUUCGUUUCUUAAUUUUUUUAACAAAUAUACCAUUUAAAAAUUAUUUUGUCUCUCAUAUCUUAUUAUAAACUACUUCCUUCACCGGUUGACUCGCAGCGAGUAGCCGCCAUCCCGCCGCCUGUCUAGGUAACCCAAGCUCUUUCUCUCAUUUCCCUUUUUAUUUUUCUCAUCCCCGUUUAAAAACAUCUGAAAAAUUCUCUCUACUUGUUCUUUCUAAUUUGGCCCGAAUUUGGGGAUAAGGAAUUGGAAAAUGAAAAAAAAAAUGAAAUCUUCUCUAACUUUAAUCACCAAUUCCUUGAAUUUAUUGAAAUUUGUGGAGAAGUGUGAUGGAAUUAAGAGGGGAUUUGCUGGUUCAAGUAGUGGAAAAGGAGCAUAGAGGCAGGCGAGGAACGUCUCGUCGAUUCUAGAGGCGGCAGCGAUUUUUAUAGAGAACAAAGGAGAGAGCGCCACUCGCUGUAACGUCGAUCUGCGAAGGGAAAAGCUAGAGCUUGAUUUCUAUUUUUAUUUGGGCAUGUGUGAAUCUGUCUCAAGUACAGAGAGGGAAGAGAGCCGGAUGUGAGACGCGACGUCGCCCGAAUUUCAGAAUCCCAAUGACAACGGCAGCAAGUCCUGACGAAGAGGCGGCGCAAGCAGAUGGUCGUUGGCCUCGUCGGAUUUCGCGAAGGUGCAGCGGAAUUGGUGGAGUGCACAACGAUGUCGUCGUCACAACACAAGAAUUUUUUUUGCAUAUUAAAACAAUUGUUCCAGGUAGAUAAAUAAGUCCACGUAGACACGCUGUGUAGGAACUUCGACUAUCUAUAUCAAUUUUUGGGAGCCGAAAAUUUUUAAUAGGACACAAAUAAUAUUUUUCUGAUAGAUUGAAUAUCGUUUUCGUAUUAUCAUUAAGUUGGAAUAUUUUUAAAAAUUCACUAAAAUGAUGGGACAUAAAUUGACCUUUAUUCGUUUAUUUAUUUAUUUUUGGACGAGAGAGAAACCAACAAGCAUAUUCAUCAUCUGCGAUAAACUCCGAGUGUUUACUCAUAUGUGCAACAAGUCAACAACUCAUAAAAAUUUACAAUUACUAUUUUCAAAAACAUUUACGCAACCCCCAUUUCCUAAAAAAAAUAUAUAACUCCCCCCCCCCCCCGCCCCCUCCCCGCCCAGAAAAAAAAAGAACUGUGAAGAGAUAAAAGAGCUGGAAGAAAUUUAGAAAUUUAGAAUGCAUUUGAGGGUUCUGCAGAUUAUUUCUUGGGAGGGGCUAUACGGAUCAGCUACAAAAAGAAGUGAUAUUUAAUUUAAAAGUAAUGACUAAGAGGAUAAAAAAGUAAAUCUACAAAUAUUUUUUAAUAUUAUUUAAUAUAAAGGGUUAUAAUGGGUAAAAUGGGGCCGUGAAUAAAAUUACCCUAUUGUAAAAGGUGAUCCUUAAAUACCACACGAAAGGGAGUCCACAGCGAAAGAUAAUUGGGUUGAUGGUAGGGAUAGGUUGAGCCCACAUUUGCAGUUACCCUCUUUAUUUAUAGUAGGCAGGUCCAUCCCAAAUGGGCUGGACUAAAAAUAUUACUCUUUUUAUAAAACUUCAACUAUAUCGUUUUCCAAUGUACUACCUAAUGUAUCAAAUACCUAAUCAACUUUGAUAACAUACUCCUAUUAAAAAUCUUUAGAUUAUUAAUGAAAAUAGUCCGAACUUUGAGUCCAUAAUGAUUUUUUAGUCUGCACUUAUAUGUGUUAUUUAAUUUAUUGGCCAAGUCAAAUUUCGACCAAUUGAUGAGUGAUAUGUCUUCCCAGAAGCUGAUUUGACAAUUAAAAAAAAAAUUAUAUCAAUUUUUUUUAAAAUCUUCACAUCAACUCUCAAAUAUUGUCGUUUCAUUGAGAAUUCAUAUUUUAAUAUUUUAACACUGUUGAAAGAAAUGCAUUCAACAAUCGAUUCUUUUUUGUGAAUUUAAACUCCGAAUAAAACAAUGAUGCUUGAGAGCUGAUGUGGAAAUUAAAAACUAAUAUAUUUUUUUUAUUGUCAAGUACUGUCAACUUUCAGUGAGAUAUGUCAUUCUUCAGUUGAUCGAAAUUUUGACUUGAACUAUAAACUAAAUUACUGAGAUAAAUUCAAAAGUGAACAACAAAGAUAAAUUCAAACUUUAUUUAUAAUAUUCGUAAAUUCAAAUUAAAGAGUCACCAUGAAUCAAAGUUUGAGCUAUUCUUUAAUAAUAACCUAAAACCUUUUAGAAGAGCUAAAAAGGUAUUUAGGUGAUAGAAUAGGUCUUUUAAAAAACUUCUAUGAAAGAUUGCAAUUCUCUUAUGAAAAUAAUACCUCAUUCGUCUCAUGAAGAUAGUCCACCUUUUUUUUCCACAUAUAUUAAGAAAAUACUCUAUCCGUCGUCAUAUUUAUACAUUUUUUUCCACCUUUAAAUUUUAAUUUUUCAAUGAUAAAUAAUAAUUAGAGUUUAUAAUAUAAUAAUAAUUUUUAUUUUUAUAAAAAACAAUUUAUAAAACAAAGAAAUGAAGAGUGGUACAGGUGGUACACACAAUAUUCUGGGACAAAGGAUCCCAUCUGGUUGAAUAGAAGGACAAUUUUGGUACCUAAAGCCAAAACGACUAUUGUUAGAGCAUCUCAAUGAGAGACGCUAAAAGGUGGUCCUCAUCUUAGAGCUUUUCUCUGCAGUGCAUUGGCUCUCUAAGAGGCGAUAUAAUCUUCAUUUUUAUUUAAUCUCUUCUUACUAUUCUAUUAUAAAAUUCAAAAUUUCAUUAAAAUUAAAAUUUAAUAUUAUAUUAAUUAAAAUAAAAUACUUAAAGCAUUACAUUAAUUAAAAUAAAAUACUUAAUACAAAAUUAAAUUUAAACAAAAAAUCCAAUAAAAAUUAACUAGGACAACGAAAUUAAAUACAAAAAGCCUAACAGAAAGCCCACAAAAAUUAAACAAAAAUAGGAUUACUCUCUCUCCUCUUUCUCAACCUUAAUGGCGCCUUCUUCUUAUUCUUCUUCUCUGCAUCUGUUCUAGACCUCCUUCAUAGCAACUCUCUCUCUCUCUCUCAAAUUACACGCUUGCACAUCACGCGAACUCCUUUCUUCACCUUUGUGCCCGCACCAUCCUUGGCACCCAGCAUGAACCCCCUUGCCUCCACAGCGCGACGCACUAGGGGCGUGCCGGCUCGGUCCGGCACGCAAAAGAUAGCGUUGGAGAUGCUCUUAUACAAAUAAUUAAGAACACCAAAACGCCUAGUGCUCAUUUGGUUCAAGUAGAGGAAUGGAAAUGGAAUGAAAUCAAAUAAAUGAGUGAAAUGGUAACAAUAACAAUUAUUUUUAUUAAGUGUUUGGUUUAAUAAUGUAUUCCCUUUCUUUUGUUUCACCUCUAUUUUGAGAGGUAACAAUUUGAGUGAUUGGAUUACCCUCAAGUAAAGGUUAUGGUUAACUCACUACUCAAACCAAACAACAAAUAAUUAAUUUAAUUAAUCGAAUCUUUUUCUAACCUCCAAAGACACCCAAUCAAACAUGGGCUAAUUAAUUAUCUCUUUCAUCCUUUAACAAAAAUUAAUUACGUACCUCUUUCACAUUAAUCUAGAGGGGAAAGUGAAUCCAAUUCUUGUUAGAUUUGGUUUAUUUAAGCAAAUGCGAUUUGAAGUUAGGUUGUUGACGAUAGUUUCCGGUAAAGAGGGUAACCUUUAUCUUUAAAUUAUUACUUAUUUCAUUUGAGAAAAUGAUAGCUUUCCAACUACACUUUCUUCCAAAUAAGAUUUAUAUCAUCCACAUAUCUUAAUUUAUUUUCUUUUUGCCUCUUUCUUGGGGCACUUUCAUGCUACUUUUUUCUUUGAAGAAGAAAAAUCUGAUAAAAGUUGUCCUAUGUACUAAUGUAAGGUUGUAGUGCGGGUUGACUUUGUCCGAAUUUUCUUAUUGUGCCCUAAAGUCUAUCAAUUAUAGAACUAUAUAAUUGAGUAUUUUGUAAAAUGGUGUGGUGUGUAUAUACAAUAAUAUUAUAGAACUAUAUAAUUGAGUAUUUUAUAAAAUGGAGUACUUAUUAGAUAAGAGAUAGAAUAAAUUGAUUUUAUUUAAAUAGCAAAAGGUUAUUUAAUGUAGCGGAUGCUUGACACGAGCUUAAAUACAACCAGAUUGUAUAUGUUUAUAUGAAUAUGUGUGAGUAUUGCUGAAUCUACUUCUAACAUUAAUUUCAGCCACAUAUAUAAUAAACAAAUAAUUUAUACCUAAAAAACAUUCAAUAUUGAUUGUGCACGAGUAUUAUCUCUAAAUCAAACCAUAAAUUAACUAUGCUCGAGACAAGGUUUGUGAGAUGAUAUCUUAAACUUGUUAACGUCGAAUAGCUUAAUUAAUGUGGAUUUGGAGUGGUCAAUUAUCAAUUUGAUAGACUUCAUAUCCCUAGUGGGACUUAGUGGAAUCAAAUCAAUCAUAAUUCCACUACUUUUAUGAAUGACCUUAAAAGCACUAAUUAACAAUAGGAGCAGAAAAAGUUGAAUUCGAUAAAACAAAAAGAAAAAGAAUUGGAAGUGGGAAACUGACUUUAUUCUCGUCUACAUUAAAUAUAUAUAAACUUUAUAUGUGAAAAAAGAAAGCUUGUUGGCUGACCGUGAUAUUAAAAAAUAAUUCAUCUAUUCCAAGUGAUAUUAUUUUCUACCACUAACUUGACAUAUAUGAGUUAAAUAAUGGAGUACUAGUAAUCACUUACUAUCUCUUCUUUCUGGGUAAAAUGUUCUCAAUAGAUAAACUCGAUACACAGUAAAUAUAUAUACAACUGAUGGGUUGGGCUGUAGGUAGUUAUUAGUUAAAGUAUACAAUAACCGGUUCAGUAUUUAUAACCAAAAUACCUUUUCAAAAUUUCGUACAUAUAUAUAAAUAUCGUUCAUAUAGUUUGAUCAUUAUGAAGGGGACUGGAUAUGAGAACAAUUUUUUAUUAAAAAAAUAAAAUCGUUUGACGUUAGUGAGAAGAUAUAUUAUCGAGCACAUUGAAAUUAUUUAGAUAAAAAAAUGGACAAUGCGAAUCGAUCAACACAUGCAAUGCAACUAAAAUAUAAUGUUACUUUCUCAAAAUAUCAAGCAACCAAGGUACGUGUGUUUUUCUUUUCAAUAUAUAUAGUAUAUAAUUUCAAGAUUUGACUUGGAUUCAUGAGUCAAUUAAGUAUAACUUUUUUUCAUUUGAAUUUUCAUCUUACCAUUUACCACCACAUAUAUAAUUUAAGUAGCCGAAGUUGAACCGACAAAUCGAACCAAAUCGAACUGAAUAUGACCAUUUGGUUUGAUUUUUACGUAUGAAAUGGUGCGGUUUUCAACCCGAAUCCGUCCGAAUUAAUAAUAAUUAAUAAAUUAUUAAAUAUAUGUUAUUAAAUAAAUAAUUACUAUUAAAUAAUUAAAAAUUAAAUUCAGAUUUUAGGGUUUUACAGUUUAGUACUUUGCGGUUUAUUAAAUAAUUCAAAUUAAAUUCAAAUUAUAAAAAUAAUUAAUUAUUAAAUAAUUAAAAAUAAAAAAUGAAACGGUUUAUGCCAAACCGAACCAAAAAUUUGCGGUUCAAUUUGAUUCGCUUUGGCCAUCGAAAUGGUUCGGUUCGGUUUCAAAUUUUAUAGGCGAUUUAGGUUCGAUUUUUUUCUAAUUCGGUUCGAUUUUGAUCCGACGAACCGUCCGAAUGCUCAGCCCUAAAUUCAUAUUCGCUCAAAUAUAUACAUAUAUAUAUAUACAUAUAUAUAUAUAUAUUAUUUUAAGUACAAUGAGGUUUAAGCAAAUCCUAUCCAAACUCUUCAAAUUUCCGCUCUUAAUAUAUAGAUUGGAGUACAAUCCAUAUUAAAUAGCACAUGUGAUUAAAGACCACAUGUUUUUUGGAAUUGCUCUAACAUUAUUAUAACAUAAUGAAAUUUACCAGAAUCUAUCUAUAGAUAACUACAACGAAUCUUCAGAUAUAAGAAGAUUAUAAUAUCCCAAAUCCAAUGCUCAUAAAUAAAAAUACAAUAAAUUUAUGCAGCCACGUUGUGGCCACCCACACACUAGUAUAAUAAGAAAAAUCUUGAUUUAUUUAAUUUAUUUUUUAAAAUAAAAAUAGGAUUUAGUUAUUUUAUUAUACUCGUAUUUUCUACAUUGUACUUUUUUUUUGUAUUUUUUAUUUUUAAUUUAUUUUUUAAUAAAAAUAAAAAAGUUACCAAAAAUUUACAAAGAAUAAUUACAAUAUAGAAAAUUUGAUAAAAUAAUUAAAUCUUAUUUUUAUUUUAAAAAAUAAAUUAAAUUAUUUUUUAUUUAGGUGAAUUGUGGAUGGCCGGUAUGGCUGUUUAACAUUACUCAUAAAAAUAUUUAUACAUGUGGACUCAAUCGUUUGCUAUAGAAAAAGGCAAAACUUGGUACGUGUGAUAAGAAAAAUGGUAGCAAAAGGCAAAAAGAAAGUUGGAAAAGCCAAAAGCCAUUAAUGGCAUUGCAACUAAUUAGUGUAAUAAUGAAUAAGAUGUGGUUAGCAUUUGCUCUCUCAAAAAUAUCUCAAUUACUGGUCCACAUUAUACACGUACUUUCCUAUCAUCCUCAGCAAGGUCUUUUUUUCUAUAGACAAAAGUCUAUUUCUAUUUAUUAUUGUCUAAAAGGUUCAUAUCAUAUGAAGAAAGUUUAAUAAAUGGUUGAUAUGAUGGUAUGAAAUAGAAAUAGAACGAUUAUUUAUAUUUUUUUUAUUUUUAUAAUUCUCUUAUGGUUCUUUUUAUAGUUAAUAUGUUCUUAUAUUGAGAAUAAUCAUUUUUUAUGAGAUCACCAUCCCACGUACGAGAAUAGUAUGAAAAAAACUCUUUCCAUCCACAAUAUAAAUAUAGUAUUUUUGUUAUUUUUGUCUUUUCGUAAUAAGUAUAUAUGGCAUGCUAUUAUAUUUUUAAAUUUAUUCACAAAUAAUAAUUACGAAAAUUUCAUAUUACAAAUUAUUUAUUAAUUACUAAUAAAUCAAUUUUGGUGUGUCACUUUUUCUUACUUUAUAUACAUUUCUCAAUAUUUUUUUAAAAUUUGUAUUCUUCCACUCGCACUAUAUUUAUCGUGAACGCAGAGAGUAUGAAAUAUAAAUAUAUAUACCAAUCUCAUUCAUAUUAAUUCACUUCGUUCGUGCCAAAUUCCAAUCCAAAUCCCAAUCAAUUCCUAAUAUCCUUUCCAACAAGAGAAGAUUGAGAACACACAACAUGUUUUUAUUUAUUUUUCUUUAUUAUAUUGCGUUUGGCUCAAGCUAUUUACGUGAGCUGUUCUAAAUGAGGACCAAUAUUUGAUAAUUAUAAAAGUUAAAUUCAAUCAUGGUAAAAGAAUAAUAAGUGAACAUUUGAUGAAGCAAAACCUCUAAGAGCAAAAUCCUCUAUUAUUGCAAAAUAAAAACAUGGCAAGUCAUAUGAUCUUUCAAAAGUUCAAGCUUAAUUUAAAAACUUGAGAGUAAAUCGUGUAUAUCUUUAAAUUAUUUGUUUCUCCAAUAAAAAAAGUUGUGUAAAUCACUGGACAUGGCAUAACUGUAUAAUAGGUUCACCAUUGUCAUAUUUAGUCUUUCUUUUCCCUUUAUUACUUCUACAUUUUAAAUAGAGUAAAAUUUUGAAGUAGCCAAAAUGAAGCAUAAAACACAAUUUAUGACCACACAUUGAAAAAACACAAAUUUUGGCCAUUUUUAUUGAUUUGGACGUUUUUACCCUUAAUGAGGCGGACCGGGUAGGAUCAGGCACGCGGGUCGCGUGCCGGGUCGGGUUAGGCACUUAUGGCACUAUUAAUGCCAUAAGUGCCAAGAUUUUACUUUGGUUUUAUUUUGGAUUUCCGUUGGCACUUAUGGCACUAAUAAAACCAAGUAAAAUAAUCAUUUUGGGCACUUAUGGCACUAUUAAUGCCAUAAGUGUCAUACGUGCAGCACAAAUACAGAAACAACAUCAUUUAAACCCUAAAUGGAACAUCUAAACCUAAAUGGAUAAUCUAAACCCUAAAUGGAAUAUCUAAACCCUAGGGGGAAGUGUGCACUUAUGGCACUAAUAGUGCACUUAAGUGCCAUACGUGCAGCACACAGAUCAGAUCAGAUUUUCCAUGGCUGAAAUCGAAGGAGGCGGAGAUCAAAUCUGCCGAUGGAGGAAGCGGUGCAACGAUCAGAUCAGAUCCACCGCCGCCGCCUCAUCAGACCAGAUCUGCCGCCGCCGCGCGCUGGAGAGAGAGAGCGAGGAUCUCCUCCACCACCGCCGCGAGAGCUCCGACGAAUUCUCCAAGCUCGGCGCCGCUGCCGCACAGCCGCUGGAGAGAGAGGGAGAUGAGAAAGAGAGAGGAGCCGCUGGAGCAGAGAGAGGGAGAUGAGAAAGAGAGAGGAGCCGCUGGAGAGAGAGAGAGGGAGAUGAGAAAGAGAGAGGAGAGAGAGAAGGUUAGAAUAGUCAUGACAUACAAAAAAUGGCCAAAAUUUAUGUUUUUUCAAAUGAUGGACAAAAUUUAAUGUUGUAUGUUGAAUAGGGCCAUUCGGCCCUAUUGUUUCUUUUAAAUAUAUAUAUUUUUUAAAAAACAUACUAUAUAAGGUAGCGUAGAGUAUAUUGAAAAUCGAAGAUUGAAUAAGAUGUUUGUGCAUAAAACUCAACCUCAUCACAUACUUGCGAAUUGUUGAGAUUGGUGAUUUGCAACAUAAGUUAUUGAAAAAUCACAUAUUUUGUGGGGCUGCCAAAAUUGCAAAGUAGAAUGAAAGCGGUUAAUGAAUAUGAUACAAGCAUAUAUCUACAACUAUGAGUAUACAACUUGUACAAAACUUAUCUACAUUCACCAAAAAGCUAAACACAAUCACGCACGCUCUUGGAACGCAAGGGACCGCGACAGAGCCGCCGGAUUGGCUUGCAGCAUAGGCGAGGCGGCCGCGGCAGCCAUGGCCGGUUUCUUGUCACCGCCCUUGGGCUGCAAGGCCUUGAAAAGGCCUUCUCUGCUAAUGGCAUCGUACUUGAUCCCGAGCGUCGACCAUAUAGAGCUUCUAGCAGCUUCUUCCGGAUCAUCCAUCCUCAACGUUUUCGGCACCACAAUGGAGCUCCUCCGCUUCUGCCCUUGCGGAUCCACAACCUCCCCACUUCUCGGAUGCUUCCCCAGCGCCCAACCGCCGGAGUUCCACAAAUAGUACGGCAUGGGGCUCGGAGGGAAGACGGCGGAGUUCCACGGAAACGGCCAUGGGAGCAUUGCUGCAGGCUGGUUGGCAAUUGAAGAGUGGUCGUUGUCAGUUUGGUGCGAGAAGGAGAGGACAGUGGCAGUGGCAGUGGCAGUGGGGUUGAAACUGAGGUUGUGAAAUCCGUCGGCGGCGACGUGGCGGCAGUUCUUGUUCUUGCGUCGGCCGGCGCCGACGGGGACGUUGCGCAUGGUGCCCCCAGCAGUCCAGUACCUCUGGCAGCUCUUGCAGAAGUGGCGAGGCUGGUUCACGUUGUAGUUGUUGUAGUAACAGAACUUGGUGUCCAUGCUCUUGCACCGCGGGCACGGGAUGAUUUUGUCCGGCUUUUUUAGAGUUUUUUGCUCCGAAUUUUCCGUCUUCGUGUUCGACUCCGAUCCACCAUCUGAUUCCUCAUUUUCUGCACUAGUUUCACAGAUUUCUCCUUCUGCUAUCUCCUAAAUUUUUCAACAAACAAUUCCUGUUAGCUUCCUGUUCUAUCACUCAAACUGUAACACUUCGUUGCUUCCAUCUAUUUAUAAUUUAAUCAAAUCAGAACAAACUCCAUUUCAUAUGUGAAACCACACAAACAAUCCAGAUUAAAUUCCACUUAAUUUCGACUCUUUUCGGAGAUGAGUUUUCAAUUGAUCAAACCAGAAUUUGAGGAAUUAUUUCCCAGAACAAACACCCUUUUUCACAAACCAAUGGUUUAAGGAAAACAAAACAGGGAAAAGGGUUUUGGGGGCAGAAUCAAUACUUUCCGAAGUGGCUGGAAAUUUAGAAAGUUGAGUUUACUUUGAAUAUUUAAAACAGGGGAAGAGUGAAAAAGGAAAAUGCCUAAUUCAGGAAAUUAAGAGCAAAAAUUAGACGCUUUGACUAGCUAAAAUUGAAAGCCAAGUUCAGAUUGAUCAGGAUCAAAGUAAAAAACAACUUGGAUCGUAUUUGCAAUAGGACGCAAAAAUAAAGGGAAUGAUAACUGAAUACGGAAACAACUUUACAUUUCCAAAUCAAACUAAACAUCAAGUAAAGAAGCUCCCUAAAAUUCCAGAUUUACAAAUUCCAGAAAAGGAAAGACUUAAAAAAUUACAAGCACACACACACAUAUAUAUAACGCAAGUAUCAGUGAGUGACUGCGUGAAAUUUGAAAAGUCUACCUCAUCUCUCUGCUCCUGCUUUUCCUUCCUUCCAACUUCUUCUCCGUCUUGCCCUUUGCUCUGUUCCAAGCAGCGAUCGCAAUCGCCACUACUUUCGUUGGACCACUCACCGGAACGUUCUCCGACGGCGCCGUUCUCCGGAAAAUAAAUCUUCCGGCCGAACAGCUUAAUCUCCGGCUCAUUCAGCAUCUUCAUCUCUCUUCGCUACUAAUCUCAGAGUGAGAAGCAAGCUGAAAUCUCCAAAAUGAAGAGUGAUUCAGAAAAAGAUUGAGAAAAAAAGGGAGAAAAAGCUUCGUUGGCAAGGCUAGAUGGAAUGAUUUUGAUAUCUUUGUAGAAAUAUUGAAUUUAAACGGCACCGGGUGGGGAUUAUAACCAUGUUGGUGCCAUGUCAUUAGGGAUCCGAUUUUCUGAGCCACAAGUUUUUCUCCGGUGGGUCCACCAAAAUUUAUCAUUUUCCCAUAUUUCACUUCUAUCCCUAUAAUUUAAGGUUAUUUUCAAUUGCACGUUUAAGGUUCUAUACCAAAGUGCAUCUAAAUCUAAAAAUCUACAUUUUGGGAUCUUUAUUUUAAACAUAUGAUAAUUUCAACCUGAUUUUGCGAGUCAAGAAGAGUUUGAGAAAUAAAAAUAAAAUUAUUAGUUGGUGAGAGAUAAAUCACGAUUUUAUGAUGAUAUUAGUAGUAACUAAAAUAAUCACAAUUUUUUAUCCGAAUUAUAUUUUCAAUACAUUUUAUAAAUAGCUACUAUAAGUCUAUAACAAUACCACCAUUUUUUUAUUUAUAGUAUAAGGUGGAUGGUUUAAUGCUUUCCCUUUUUUGGGCCUAAAUGUAAAUAAAAUAUUCGUAAAUUUAUCUCAAAUAUCGUUACAAGUUAAAUUAAAAGUUUAGGAUUGAAAUUAAUUUCGGAACCAAGGUCCGUCAAAAGCUGAAAUAUACGUUACAGGAUCAAGUUUGAAUUAGAUAACAAAGUCAAGCCUGAAGGCACAUAUCAAAUGCAACCCCCAAUAUCAGAGUUGAAAGAUUAAAAAAACACGUGUAACUUCAAUUAUAUUAAUAUUAUUAUUUAGAUCAAAUACUCUUUUUUUCCUUUAAUCGUGUUAUUCCUAUAGAAUUUUCACCAACAAUAUUUUAACAAGUCUUGGGCCAAGUGACCUUGCUAAUGAGUCUUGUUAUUAGGUUUGUUUGUAGAUUAUAAAUAAGGACUUUUAGGAUAAAUGAAUUCUCCCAUUCUUUCUCUCUAAAUGAAUGUAAUUCAAUUUCAGCUUAUUUCUCAAUUCCUUAGCUUGAUUUUUCUCGUUUUACAAAUUCACCGCUGUGAUGAAAAUUCACCAUAACAAGUAAAAUAAACAAGCUCAAUACAUUUGAAUGAUAUAAUUUUAACUUUAUUAAUACACAUACAACAUCUUUAUGUGAGUAAUAUAUGACAAGGUCACGUCGCAUUUUUGGUCAAAUGGAGAAAAGAUACAUAUCUUCUUUGAUUAUCAUAAAGAUUUGAACGCGAUUAUUUUGGCAUAAUUAUAAAAUAUAUCAAACAUAAAAUUCUAUCAAAGUUCAUGAAUUUGUUUGGAUUUAACUCAAAGACAAAAAUUACAAAAUUUAUAAAAGAUGAAGGAUUAUUGGCAUGUAAACACACAAAUUUUUAAUCAAUUCAUGAACUACACAUGAAGUUUAAUUUUGAUACAACAAUACAUUUUUUAAUUAGAGAUUGCAUAAAAAGAAAGAAAGAGAAAACCUAAAAAAUCCUUGAAAGCACAAUAAAAGCAUACUAAGGUUCGAACCUCGUUAAAACAUUUAUAACAAAAAUCCAAAGAGAAAACCCUUAGAAAAAAAAGAGUGCUCGUCUACGAAACAAGUCACAAAGACAUAGUACAUAAUAAAGGAAAGCAGUAAACGCCGGCAUGGGAGGAGGGAGUUGCUUCCGGAGCUCCGGCCUAACCAUCGCCCCCAAGCAACCCCGGCACCCCCCACGCCUAAAAAACAAACCCAAAAGAAAGACCAAAUCUCAAAACAAAGCUUAAAAUACAUUAUAGAUUAUAUCAAAAAUAAAGUUUAUAUACUCCCUAUGUUCUAUAAGAAUGUGCACUUUUUAUUAUUUUAGAACGUUUUAUAGGAGAGAAUUUUUUUUGGGGGGGAAUUAUUUCUUAUAUUCUAUUUUUAAAAUUCGUGCUAUUAGAGCAUCCACAACGCCCUACUCGAUAUCCCCUACUCGAGUAAGGGCGAUGCAGCCCCCCCUACUCGAGUGCUACCCGAUAGAACGGGUAAGCACGAUGCGCCUAAAAUCAGGCGCGUGUUGUACAUGCUCCACAAUAAAAAAAUAUAAAAAAUUAAAAUUCAAAUUUCAUUCCAAUGACCUUGUUCGAUUUUUUUUUUUGCCUUCAACGGCUAUUUUGACGAUUUUUCUUUUUUUUNUAAUUUCCUAUCUAUAAAAUACCCCUAAACUCCUUUUUUUUAGGAAUUAUUUUUAUUUAAUUAAAUUUUAUGUAAUUUUUUAAUGUAAUUUUUAGGAUUUUAAAAUUAAUGCAAUUUAAAUUUCAAUUAAAUUGUGUUAUUUAAAUUUGAGCAAUUAAAUUUAAAUGAAAAGCAUAAAAAUCAAAACUAAAAAAAUCAAGUAAGCUAUCAAGUAGACUAUCAAGUAAGCCCACUGCAGAUGCUCUUAAUAAUUACGCACAUUUCCAUAAAUGAGGGAGUACAAUUUAUAAAUGGACUAAAAAUUUGUAUAUUACCAAUAUCCCAAAGAUUGUGUGUUGGUCAAGUGAUAAGGAGUUAAUGUCUAAGGCCAAUGUCUUGGAUUCGAGUCCCUUGUGCCGCGACCUUUUAAUUUCUUUAUUUAAUAUUGUAAAUUAAAAAAAAAAGACUUAUUCCUUUUUUUGACAAAUUGAAGCGGCUCCAUUGAAAUCUGAAGGAACUGGACCCACAGUUGCACAGAGACUCCGGUGCUACCUUGGAGGGUGGGUGUACGUGAUUUCCGUUAAACCCCUAACUUCCAAUGACGUGGAAGGAUAUGGUUAGUAGAAAGUGGAUUGGGUUUUGCUACUUUUUGUACUUGUGCGUGAGGAUUUUUUUUCAGGUGAUUGACAGAGGCUCAAUCAUGGCCAAUCAUCAACACAGGCUGUCUUACUUUUGACGGCCCAGAUUGUUAAUGAUUUUUCAGGGAAUCUUUUAAUUUUUCUUUUUAUCAUUUUGGACUUGUUUUCGGGAAGGCAAAUAAUAAUCUUUCGUUUAUUUUUAACUUUUCUCCCCACCUUUUCUCUAUUUGAAAAUUGCUGAUGCGUGUGUAGAUCCGAUUGGUUGCAUCCGAUAAAAAAUUUAGAUAUAUGUAUUUUAAUGGUACCCUUCAUUAUAGUUUACUAGUAUAUACUUCCUCCGUCCCGCGAAUCUUGAGUCAAUUCUUUUCGGCACGGAAAUUAAAAAAAUACUCCAUCCGUCCCUGCUUUUAGUAUCCAACUUUCAUUUUUUGGUCGUCCCACAUUUUGGUAUCCAUUUCUAUUUUUAGUAAAAGUAGGUAGGGCUCUUACUCCACUUUAAUUAUUUUAACUCUCACAUAAAACGUGAGACUCUUAUUCCACUCACAACACAUCAAUCACUUUAUUAAAACCCGUGCCGUUCUCAACUGGAUACCAAAAGUCGGGACGGAGGGAGUAGUAUAUAGGGUACCUCCAACAAUGAUCUCAGUUUCUAGUUUUUAAAUUGCCACAUCACUGCCACAUCAGCUUUAGAAACUCACCUACUUUUUUUAUCUAAUAUCUACUCCAACAAUAAACCAGUUUCUUACUUUUUGAGGGUCCCACCAUAAUACACACUUCCUUUAUAUAUCAAUAUACUAUUUUCUAGUAUUUUGAUUUUAUUUUUAAUUUAAACUUUUAUAUUUUAGUUAUCUAAAAAUUAAAUCGACUUAUAAUUAUAAAUAAUAAUUAAAAUUACAUUAUUGAAAUUAAAAUUUUGCCGCUGUAUAAAAUUUAGCAAUUUGACAUACUAUAAUUUAAUCAAUAAUAUAAUUGAAAAAUUAGCCGUUUAUUCUUUUAUUAUAAAGAAAAACAAUGAAUUGAAAGAAAAAUAAAAAAAAGAGAACAAAACACUCAGUCCAAUAGAUGAAAAUGAUAAACAAUUAAAUGGUGAAUUAGCCGCAAAAGGAAAAAGAAAAUAAAAAUGAAAAGGCAAAAGUACAAAAGGGGCUCGCAUCUUGCAGUGUGAAGCUGGGUGCAAAUUUGCACCUGGUUUCCUCGAUUUCUAUGUUGAAACUGGUUCCUCCUUUCUCCAACGGUAGCUCCAAAUUUAAGAAACUACAAAAAGGUGUCGUUGGAGGCACCCUUAGUGUGUUAAGUGUGGUAGGUGAAAAAGUGAAAAGGUGAAUAAAAAUGAAUUUUUUUGUCAAAAAAAAAAAUGACUCAAGAAUCGUGAAACGGCCGAAAAAAGAAAGUAACUCAAAAUUCGUGGGACGGAUGAAAUAAUAGAUAUAAUUUGCGCACAUGCGAUUGAUUUAGGUUCCCGUUGAUAUGUUUGGGACCAAGUCUCCGACAAAACAUCAAUUAAAAAAAAUCUCCAACAAAGAGAUUUUCUUAAUUCAUGUUGGAUAUUUUAUUUAAUUAACAUUAUAUAUAUCCGUGAAAUAAUAUACUUUCAAUACAAGUCAAAAACUAUACAUACAGUGACAUGCAAUACCGAAUCUCAUGAGAAGAAUAGAUUUAAUUAUUUUGGAAAAGGAGCAUCCGUAUAUAUAUACUCCCUCCGUCCCACGAAUCUUGACACGUUUGAUUUCGACACGUGAAUUAAGAAGUUGUAGAUUAGUGUUUUAAGUGUGUAAGUAAUAAAGUAUAAAAAUGAUAAAUUAGGAGAGAGAAGGUGAUAAAGUAGGAGAUAGAAGGUAAUAAUUGUUACUAUAUUUAAAAAUGUGUCAAGAUUCAUUGGACGGCUCAAAAAGGAAUACGUGUCAAGAUUCGUGGAACGGAGGGAGUAUAUAUAUAUAGGGGCUACACUAUAAAUACUUUUUAAAAUAUAAAAUACGAACUAACUAAAAUAUAUGAAUUCUAUAUAAAACACGACUGAUUUCUCUGUGUAAAUGUCUAAAUUUUAAAAAUUAAUUUUUUUGCUAUAUGUAGGAUUCGAACUCAAGACCAUGGAUCCCAAUCCCGAGCUCACCCGGAGGCUGAAAAAAGGCCCAAGAGACGCUCCACUCAAGCUCCAGCCAACCACCCGUUUUUAUAGAAAAAUUCUGAUGUGUGAUUUAGUUGUCUAGAUUUGUGUUGUUUACCAUGUGUUUUAUUUGAUAUUGCUCAAAUUUGUUGGUAUUUUGGUGCAGGAUUGGCAUGGAUCGUGAAUGGAAGGUGGCGGAUGCUGAGAGCUUGAGAAAGACGAGAUUUGAUGAAGUGAUCGUGGAAUUUUAAAGAUGAUUAGAGAUUAGAUUUGGAGGCACUGCUAAUAAGACGGAGGCACUAUUUGAUUUAUAAUUUUUUCAUUCUAAAUUAUUAAACUAUUCAAACCAACUCAUAAAUUACAGACUAAAUUGACAUAUCUAUGUGUACCUAAAAUUAAAAAUUGUUCCAAGUUGGUAAAUUUGAUUGCAAUUAAUGACUUCGUUUAAGAAGGCAGAAGAUUAUGUGGAGGACGCGUGUAAGUCAUGAUUAGACUUAUUUAACCAAACAUCUUUCGCAUUGCAAGGGCAUAGAACUUUCUGGAAGUUGACAGGUGUCUUAUCUAAGCUCAAAAGUAUAAGUAUCUUCACCAUUUAAAAACAAAAAAUAAAGAGAAAGAAAAGAAAAGUGGCUACCAACAUCUUUUGAUCUUUCGGUGUAAAGUCAUGCUGAUUUGCACUUUAAAAUAUUAGCAACCCCAACCCAGCAUCUUAAUUUUAUCUCCUAAGUUAUAGUUGGGCUAUUAAAUAUUGAAAAUUGAUAAUGAUUUAUUACAAGUCUCCUUUGAGAGUGACGUAUUUAAUUAGUUAUUCACUUAUUUUAAUUUAUGACGGUGGAUGAUUGAAAAAAAGGACAAAUUUGGAUUUGGACAAGUUUGUCUUUGUGUGGUGAAUUGAAUCUUCAAUAAAUUAAACUUUUAUUUUUAUAGACAUAAUGUUUUUCCUUAAUUUCCCCCCAUUUUUAUACACAUCUUCAACAACCAUAUGAUCACGGCCUAAAUAGAAUUAUAGUAAUAAUUAAUGACUUUAUAGUACGUGCUACUAUAUUAAUAACGUGAAAAAGGCAAUACACUCAUGCCAUGAAAUUAGGUCAAAAUUAAUCAGCUACUACACCAUAUCAGUAGCUCAGUACCAAACGUGCUAUGUGCAUGUAUAAAGAUUUUAUUUUUGUAUAAUGAAAUUUUUUAUUGAGUGAUAUGUAUAUUCAGUAUUUAUAAGUAUAAUAUAAAUAAAGAUUAUUUUUUUUAUUUAAUCAGGAAAAGUUUAUUGAGGAACCAAAAGGUACCAGAGGUACCAAAACAAGGUCAACAAAACAAGGGAAAGGAAGAGCAGUCGUCGCCAGACGAAAGAGAAAACAACAAAAGACGGAACAAAAAAAUCAAUCCACAAGACUAACUGCAUCAAACCAAGAUCUGAAAUCAGGAGAAGGUGAGCCCAAGAGGAAAGCCUUCUGCCAUCCCCACAGGCGAGAUUUAAUUUCUGCAACAAUUUUUCUUUGGCCCAACACCCAUGGUCAAAAGUGCACCUAUUCCUUUGUUUCCAAAUGCACCAGAUCACACAAAUCCAAACACCGGAAAGGAAUCUGAUAUCCUUCUUACGCCCGAGAUUAGUGAAAGCAAGGAAGUGGUCAUUUCUAGUAGAAGGAAGAGUCGACUGAACACCGAGCCAGGAGAGGAGCACAUAUAUACCAGAUUUCAGUGGACUUGAGGCAAGAGAAGAAGAGAUGCUCCGUGUCUUCAUCAUCAAGGUUGCACAGUUUGCAGACGAUCUCCGAGUUCGGGAUAGGAACCUGUCUCUUCAGAAGGUUGUCGGUCGUCGCCAUUCUUCCACACAGCGUCCUCCAAGCAGUAACUUUAGCCUUGUGAGUGGCCGGGGCUUUCCAGAUGGAAGAGAAAGCAGGGUUCUUCUGUUGGGAGGUACUAACCCCGUCGCGAAUUGCCUUGAGAGCCGACUUAACAGUGAAACAACCAUCCGGCGAUGGUUUCCAUCUCCAGCCAUCGGUUUUCCCCAUCACCAGCUUAACAUUCUUGAUGAGAGACAGAAGAAUAGAGACUUGGUCUUUCUCUCUAUCUAGAAGGGUUCUUCUCCACUGAAAAUCCCAUUCCCAGGCUCCUUCGUGCCAACUUCCCAUACUUUUAAUGUUGCCCCCAGGGUUGUUGCUGAGGCGAAAGAGUCUAGGGAAGCGGUCGCAUAGUCUCGUUCUCCCUGUCCAGUGAUGAUUCCAAAAAGACGUUGACUCACCAUCUCCUAACUGAAAUUCCAAAUUGUCCAUAAACCAUCUACCACUUUCCCCCUUGCUCAGACUCAGCACUUUAUUCCGCCAGCAGGAAGCCGAAACCCUUCCCCCUUUCAAGGUGAUCCCAUCUGUAUCCCAAUCGAUAUCUCCCUUAACUGCCCUGACCACCCGAGCCCAUAAGGUCUCUUUUCCGGUGAGAAAACGCCACAUCCACUUAGUCAUUAAGGCCAUAUUAAAUUUCUCCAGGUCAAUGAUUCCCAGCCCACCUUUUUCCUUCUCAGCACAGAGAUUCUCCCAUUUAAACCAAUGGAUCUUUCUCUGAUCCGUACCACCUCCCCAAAGAAAAUUACCCACCAAAGCUCGGAUUUCAGAUAGAACACUCUUGGGGAGUAAAAGAUAUGAGAGCUGAUAGAUAGGGAUCGAAGAGAGGACUGAGCGAAUCAGAGUAAUCCUGCCGGCCAGAGAAAUCUUUCGGUUCUUCCAUUUUGUAAUUAUGUUCUUGAUUUUGUCGACGAUAUACUUAGAAUCUGCUACCCGUGUCAGGCGGGUUCCAAUCUGAAUCCCCAGAUAAUUAGUCGGAAGGACCCCUGCAGAACAGUUUAAUUGAUCCGCCAUUUCUUUGACAACAGAAAAAUCAGUCCGGACUCCAAAAAUGGUACUUUUAUCAAAGUUAACCUUGAGGCCUGAGAUCAAAGCGAAAAGUUUGAGGAUACAUUUGAACGCCCAAAAAAAGAUUAUUGUUUCCUAGAUAUACUUUUUUCCGGUUAAAAGUGCAAUCUCACUUGAGAUCAGUUUUUCAUGUGUGUGUAUUAUUUAACUACGUAAAGAACUAUGACUUGUAACUAUAGCCUUGUAUCAUGUUGAUGAUACAUGAAUUUUUUUUUGGCCCAUCAGAAAUAAAUAAUCUAAUUUCUCUUAAAAAAUGAAAAAAAAUAAAACCACUUCAUCUUCUUUUGGCGUGUUCCACCAAGGCACCAAUACUUCCAAUGAUGUACUCCGUCCGUCCCACUACAAAUAUCAUAUUACUUUUGGGCAUAGAAAUUAAGAAAUGAGUAAAAAGUAUAUAAAGUGAGUUGAUGAAAAUUAUUUAAAUAUUAGGUAUAGAGAGAAAACCAGUGGCGGAGCCAAGCCCCUAAAGACAGGGGGGGCAAAGCAUGAUAAAAGAAAGUUUUAAAUAACUUUUACAAAAAUUAUAUAAUAAAAUAUAAUUGCAAUAAUUCCCUACGAUUAUUCAUAUUUUGAAAGCGACGUACUAUCAUCUCAUUGUCAAUUACCUCAAAAAUUUCUUUUUCAAUAUAAGUAACUAAACAAUCAUUCUCUCAACGAUCACUCAUUCAAUUUCGAAGCCGAUUUUUAACAAUCUUAAUAACUGAAAAAGCU
rnacentral:lncRNA from 1 species